rnacentral:ncRNA from 2 species
CAUUAGAUGACUGAAAGCAAGUAUUGGUC